ACAGAUCACAAGAGAUGCUAUGCACAGUUUCCUUCCCUGCCUCUGCUGUCUCUUCUUCUGGCUCCUGCCUCAAGUCCCCUAACCUGUUCUGAUCCAGCAGACCCAAGAAUGAAAUGCGGAGUCUCUCUCUCACCUGCUAACUGGUGUGGAGCACCUUGUCUGAGAGUUCCAGUUGAUCUUGGAGAUUGUGAGGAUCAAGAUAGAUCUUCAGGUGUUUGCAGAUGUCCUAGAGGAGAAUAAUUUUGGCGAAAAGUACAGUACAAGACACCUACACAUGGAAUUUAAGGAAAAGGUGAUAAAUAGCCUGUGAUAAAAUCUGAAACUGAAGGUGAUAGAGUCAAAUAAGUGCAGGCGAGGUUGACACCCCUCAGUCUCUUCCUUAAACCCUGCUGGAUUUCUUUAAAAAAAAAAAAGUGUGGGGAAGAUCGAAGACUUAGCAAUAAAGUUGUUUUUUCUUUGAAGACCAGACAAGGAAGAAAAAAGUCUUGGUCCAUGAGUCUGUGAACACAUCUGAAACAGUUUUAUGUGGAAAAACAGAGGGAGGAGACUAAAGACCGAAUCUAUUAUAAUUGUCACACUUCAGUAUUUUUCUCUUUUUGAAGAUGUAAUUUUUCUCCAAUAACAACUUUGCCCUCUACAGGACUUUUCAUUCAAGAUGUCCACAUGCUUCCCAAACCUGAAUGAAGGAAUACAAAAUCUCCAUAAAUACAUGUGUUUGACAAACAAAGAAAAAGCAGUUGCCUGUCAUAGUGGCUUUUCUUUAGCUGUCUGUAGAAAUAACCGGGUUGUGAGGAGUAAGGGAAGUCAUCAGGACAGUUUCUCCUAUUGGCCUCCCACAGUGGAGACACUUCAGAAAUUCAGCCUAAGAUACAUCAACUCCAGCUACGCUAUUCUCGUCGACUUAGGUUGACUUUCUCUGCUAGUGUAAAACUGGCCUUAGUAUUUUAAAAUUAAUGGAGAUUGCCUAUC